UCUCCGUUGGUGAACCAGCGGAGGGAUCAUUACCGAGUGCAAACUCAUAACCCUUUGUGAACCUAUAUCUGUUGCUUCGGCGGCUCGCUCUCGGGCGAGCCCGCCGGUAAUAUCAGUAUCUCUGUUUGAACCCGACGAUACUUCUGAGUGUUCUUAGCGAACAGUUAAAACUUUUAACAACGGAUCUCUUGGCUCUC
rnacentral:misc_RNA from 1 species